UCCGGUUUGGCACCGGCAGUCUUCCUAGAGUCCCCGGCACGACCCGCUGGCAACACAGGACAAGGGUUGCGCUCGUUGCGGGACUUAACCCAACAUCUCACGACACGAGCUGACGACAACCAUGCACCACCUGUACACCGACCUUGCGGGGCGACCAUCUCUGGCCGUUUCCGGUGUAUGUCAAGCCUUGGUAAGGUUCUUCGCGUUGCAUCGAAUUAAUCCGCAUGCUCCGCCGCUUGUGCGGGCCCCCGUCAAUUCCUUUGAGUUUUAGCCUUGCGGCCGUACUCCCCAGGCGGGGCACUUAACGCGUUAGCUGUGGCACGGAACCCGUUGAACGGGACCCACGCCUAGUGCCCAACGUUUACAGCGUGGACUAC
rnacentral:misc_RNA from 1 species